GCUGCAGAUGACUGUGAAGGAACUCCCUCAGCGCGACCGUCGACCGGAAAUGAAGCAUCUCGACCCGGUUUGUGAGAGAAGAACCUUCUGGGUUCUGGAGACGCUACGAGACCGAGUUCAGAACUGCGGAGGAACCCGCGCUUUAUCUAAAGCUGGUCAUAAGCUCCGCCCACCUGGAUCUCCACGUGGGCUAAACAUGACUAAUACGCCGCGUCUGAAUUAGGACCUGAAACCUUCUGAAACAAAUGGGGACUUCCACCAUCGCGCAGACGGCUGCGGAGGUGAGAGCAGGAGACAAAAGGAGGGAAGGAGAGGAGAGCUCCCCGCCGGAGCUGCAGGGAGCAGAGAGGCAAUCAUUCACCGACGCCCACGCCUUCUCAAAAGCAGUCAGCUUCCUGUUCCUUUCAAAAAAAGAAAAAAAAAAUGAGGGUGACGGGCGCGCUUCCCUCCCACGCCGCUCAGCGGCUGGCUUCCGCCCACUUUGCCCGUGGAGCCGCCGCCCACCCUCCAGCCGUUGCCGCGGCAACACAACAUCAUCAGUGACUUUGCACUGGAAGGAGAGGAGGAGGAGGAGGACAGGGCGAGGAGGGGCUGGAGCCACGGCGAGCGGCAUUCGGCGUGGGCGUUCAUGAGCGCAGCUCCUCUCCGGAGAAAAUAUGUCUACGCCUGUGCGCGUGUGUGCGUGUGCGUUAGGGGGGUGGAGGAAGAGGAUGAUGGGAGGUAUGUGAAAAAGGACCUGCGUCAGAGUGAGUCAUCGAGCACUUUCACAAUGUGUUGAUGUGACGCUGAUGCAAAUGGCCGGAGAGGCGCCGGGAUUCAUCUGAGGGCGAAAAAUACCGCCGCCGCUCUUCUUCAUCCCACCUUCAUCACUCAAACACACCGUAGAGUUAAAAAAAAUAAAGUUUAAUGUUCAUGUGCCGUAUAACAAAUAAAAUAUAUUAGUGUUUAAAAAAAAAAA